rnacentral:rRNA from 1 species
GCCUAACACUGCAAGUCCGAACGAACCCUUCGGGGUUAGUGGCGCACGGGUGCGUAACGCGUGGGAACCUGCCUUUAGGUUCGGAAUAACUCAGAGAAAUUUGAGCUAAUACCGGAUGAUGUCUUCGGACCAAAGAUUUAUCGCCUUUAGAUGGGCCCGCGUUAGAUUAGAUAGUUGGUGGGGUAAUGGCCUACCAAGUCGACGAUCUAUAGCUGGUCUGAGAGGAUGAUCAGCCACACUGGGACUGAGACACGGCCCAGACUCCUACGGGAGGCAGCAGUGGGGAAUAUUGGACAAUGGGCGAAAGCCUGAUCCAGCAAUGCCGCGUGAGUGAUGAAGGCCUUAGGGUUGUAAAGCUCUUUUCCAGGGAUGAUAAUGACAGUACCUGGAGAAUAAGCUCCGGCUAACUCCGUGCCAGCAGCCGCGGUAAUCCGGAGGGA